rnacentral:rRNA from 1 species
UACGAAGGACCCAAGCGUUAUCCGGAUUUAUUGGGUUUAAAGGGUGCGUAGGCGGGUUAUUAAGUCAGUGGUGAAAGCUCCUAGCUCAACUGGGAAAUUGCCAUUGAUACUGAUGAUCUUGAGUAUGAUUGAGGUGGGCGGAAUGUGUCAUGUAGCGGUGAAAUGCUUAGAUAUGACACAGAACACCGAUUGCGAAGGCAGCUCACUAAGCCACAACUGACGCUGAUGCACGAAAGCGUGGGGAGCAAACAGG